rnacentral:rRNA from 1 species
CACACUGCCGAGAAAAGCCUCUAGAUAGAAAAUAGGUGCCCGUACCGCAAACCGACACAGGUAGUCAAGAUGAGAAUUCUAAGGUGAGCGAGCGAACUCUCGUUAAGGAACUCGGCAAAAUGACCCCGUAACUUCGGGAGAAGGGGUGCUCUUUAGGGUUAACGCCCAGAAGAGCCGCAGUGAAUAGGCCCAAGCGACUGUUUAUCAAAAACACAGGUCUCUGCUAAACCGUAAGGUGAUGUAUAGGGGCUGACGCCUGCCCGGUGCUGGAAGGUUAAGAGGAGUGGUUAGCUUCUGCGAAGCUACGAAUCGAAGCCCCAGUAAACGGCGGCCGUAACUAUAACGGUCCUAAGGUAGCGAAAUUCCUUGUCGGGUAAGUUCCGACCCGCACGAAAGGCGUAACGAUUUGGGCACUGUCUCAACGAGAGACUCGG